rnacentral:lncRNA from 1 species
CUCAUCAUUAGGCAGGAUUUUGAGGUCGUGGCUGUAGUCCUCGUCUGCUUGGCGGGUGUGGUUCUCCAGGAGGCUCAUGUUGAAGCCAGGGUGUGGGAAGCUCUCACUGACAUGAACAAACUGGGCUGUGUUUUCGUCGUCAAACAAGUUGUGGCGACCCAGCCAGAGCUGGUAAUUGCUGGGGAAAGAUGGGAAUGGAGGGAUGAGAAGACGGGAAGGGGAAAAGGGGAUGGGGCAGGGGAGCAUGGGGGAGGGUCCCCAAAGAGAGAAAGGGAAAGAGAAAAAUGUGGGUGGGCGGAGACAGAGGAAGAAAGAUAUAGUUAUGGAGAAAUACAGACAGCGAAUGGGAAGAUGAAAGAUUUUGAGAGUGCAAAAGGCAAAUGAAGAGACAGAGCAAAAAAGAGCUCAAAAGGACAGAGGGGUGAAAAAGGCGGAGGGGAGGGCAGUGAGAAACAGGGUGAGCAAAAAAGAGGCAGAUGAGAAGGAUAAAAGACAGGGACAGCGAGAAACAGGACGCGGGACGUCAGAGUGAGAACUAGAAACAGAGGCAGAGAGGAAGCAGGAGUGACCGAGUGUGGGAGAGAAAAGGGAGGGAGGCCCUGGGGGAGG